UGGAGUAAAAAGUAGAUGAUGUCAUUAAUUCUGGUUUCAUGAAGCUUAUGAUCUAAUAAUAAGCCCCACACACUGCAUUAGUAAGUUUGAUACCAGUAAGAAUGAUGUUCUAAGGAGGCUUCUGAAGUGAGAAAUCAACUUCAGUAAAAGAUUGAAGGAAGGCUUCAUUGGAAAGUGGUACCUUAUCUUUGAAGAAAGUAAAUUUCAGUGGCUAGAGAUGAGAAGAGGGUGUAUUCUAGGCAUGAGAAAUGACCCAUGUGAAUGUAUGGAGGUUAAAGGACUUCAGGCUAGACUGAUUAACUCUGAAACAUUGGGAAAGUGAACUGUGAGUCUAAUGAGAGCUUGACUCCAGGACAGAGUCUGGGAUCUGCAAGCACAAGCCCAAGAAACAACCAGGACCCAGGCCAGUAGUUUGGCCCCCUGGACCAAAUGAGGGUCUAUAAGAGGGAAAAACUUGAAUACUGACAACUUCAGAAUUCCAGUCAAAGCAGUAAAACCAAUCAAUAUUUCUGAAGACUUCUAAGAAAGCAA
rnacentral:lncRNA from 1 species